AUUGAACGCUGGCGGCAGGCCUAACACAUGCAAGUCGAGCGAGCGGCGGACGGGUGAGUAAUGUCUGGGAAACUGCCUGAUGGAGGGGGAUAACUACUGGAAACGGUAGCUAAUACCGCAUACCAUCAGCUUUGCCCAGAUGGGAUUAGCUAGUGGGUGGGGUAAUGGCUCACCUAGGCGACGAUCCCUAGCUGGUCUGAGAGGAUGACCCGCCACACUGGAACUGAGACACGGUCCAGACUCCUACGGGAGGCAGCAGUGGGGAAUAUUGCACAAUGGACGCAAGCCUGAUACAGCCAUGCCGCGUGUGUGAAGAAGGCCUUCGGGUUGUAAAGCACUGUCAGCGAGGAGGCGUUAUUCGCAGAAGAAGCACCGGCUAACUCCGUGCCAGCAGCCGCGGUAAUUC
rnacentral:rRNA from 1 species